GAUAAACGCUAGCGGGAGGCCUAACACAUGCAAGCCGAGCGGUAGAGAUUCUUCGGAAUCUUGAGAGCGGCGUACGGGUGCGGAACACGUGUGCAACCUGCCUUUAUCUGGGGGAUAGCCUUUCGAAAGGAAGAUUAAUACCCCAUAAUAUAUUGACUGGCAUCAGUUAAUAUUGAAAACUCCGGUGGAUAGAGAUGGGCACGCGCAAGAUUAGAUAGUUGGUGAGGUAACGGCUCACCAAGUCUACGAUCUUUAGGGGGCCUGAGAGGGUGAUCCCCCACACUGGUACUGAGACACGGACCAGACUCCUACGGGAGGCAGCAGUGAGGAAUAUUGGACAAUGGGUGAGAGCCUGAUCCAGCCAUCCCGCGUGAAGGACGACGGCCCUAUGGGUUGUAAACUUCUUUUGUAUAGGGAUAAACCUACUCUCGUGAGAGUAGCUGAAGGUACUAUACGAAUAAGCACCGGCUAACUCCGUGCCAGCAGCCGCGGUAAUACGAAGGGUGCAAGCGUUAUCCGGAUUUAUUGGGUUUAAAGGGUCCGUAGGCGGAUCUGUAAGUCAGUGGUGAAAUCUCACAGCUUAACUGUGAAACUGCCAUUGAUACUGCAGGUCUUGAGUGUUGUUGAAGUAGCUGGAAUAAGUAGUGUAGCGGUGAAAUGCAUAGAUAUUACUUAGAACACCAAUUGCGAAGGCAGGUUACUAAGCAACAACUGACGCUGAUGGACGAAAGCGUGGGGAGCGAACAGGAUUAGAUACCCUGGUAGUCCACGCCGUAAACGAUGCUAACUCGUUUUUGGGUCUUUAAGAUUCAGAGACUAAGCGAAAGUGAUAAGUUAGCCACCUGGGGAGUACGUUCGCAAGAAUGAAACUCAAAGGAAUUGACGGGGGCCCGCACAAGCGGUGGAUUAUGUGGUUUAAUUCGAUGAUACGCGAGGAACCUUACCAAGGCUUAAAUGGGAAAUGACAGGUUUAGAAAUAGACUUUUCUUCGGACAUUUUUCAAGGUGCUGCAUGGUUGUCGUCAGCUCGUGCCGUGAGGUGUUGGGUUAAGUCCUGCAACGAGCGCAACCCCUGUCACUAGUUGCCAUCAUUAAGUUGGGGACUCUAGUGAGACUGCCUACGCAAGUAGAGAGGAAGGUGGGGAUGACGUCAAAUCAUCACGGCCCUUACGCCUUGGGCCACACACGUAAUACAAUGGCCAGUACAGAGGGCAGCUACACAGCGAUGUGAUGCAAAUCUCGAAAGCUGGUCUCAGUUCGGAUUGGAGUCUGCAACUCGACUCUAUGAAGCUGGAAUCGCUAGUAAUCGCGCAUCAGCCAUGGCGCGGUGAAUACGUUCCCGGGCCUUGUACACACCGCCCGUCAAGCCAUGGAAGUCUGGGGUACCUGAAGUCGGUGACCGUAAUAGGAGCUGCCUAGGGUAAAACAGGUAACUAGGGCU
rnacentral:rRNA from 1 species